rnacentral:rRNA from 1 species
GUGAGGAAUAUUGGGCAAUGGGCGAAAGCCUGACCCAGCAACGCCGCGUGAGGGAUGAAGGCCUUCGGGUUGUAAACCUCUUUUCUGGGAGAAGAGACAAGGACGGUAUCCCAGGAAUAAGUCUCGGCUAACUACGUGCCAGCAGCCGCGGUAAUACGUAGGAGGCAAGCGUUAUCCGGAUUCACUGGGCGUAAAGCGCACGCAGGCGGUUAUGUAAGUCGGACGUGAAAGCUCCUGGCUCAACUGGGAGAGGUCGUUCGAUACUGCAUAGCUUGAGGUUGGGAGAGGGAAGCGGAAUUCCCGGUGUAGUGGUGGAAUGCGUAGAUAUCGGGAGGAACACCAGUGGCGAAAGCGGCUUCCUGGCCCAUACCUGACGCUCAGGUGCGAAAGCGUGGGGAGCGAACGGGAUUAGAAACCCUGGUAGUCC